rnacentral:tRNA from 1 species
GGCCGGGUAGCUCAGUUGGUAGAGCAGCGGACUGAAAAUCCGCGUGUCGUUGGUUCGAUUCCGACCCCGGCCA